GUUUGACCUCGGAUCAGGUAGGGAUACCCGCUGAACUUAAGCAUAUCA
rnacentral:rRNA from 4 species